CGAAGCAUUAUGCUGGUUACUAUUGAACAUAGCCGGAUGCCCUACAGUAUUACAUUACUUGGACGAUUUCCUACUGGUCGAGGAGAAUACUGCACCUCCCAAUAGCCUCAAAGCUACCACUAAGCUGUUUGAGCAACUAGGUGUACCCAUCUCCCCAAAGAAAACAGAAGGGCCAGACACGGUUAUCACUUUUCUGGGUAUCCAGUUAGACUCUGCCACAAUGCAAGCAAGCCUACCU